rnacentral:rRNA from 1 species
AUGUGCAUCACCGCCCAUUAUAUCAAUGCAGAAUUCAUCUACAAGAAGAAGACCAUAAGUUUCGCAGAAGUGAAGUAUCCCCAUACAGGCUAUGCGAUAGAGGAAGAAAAAUGGGGCAUAAGAGGCAAAUUAUUCACUUUGACACUAGAUAAUGCCAGCAAUAAUACUAAUGCAUGUGAGGAGUUAAUAAAAUAUCACAAACAUGAGUUGCUCCUUGAAGGUCAACAUUUGCAUGUCAGGUGUUGUGCGCACAUUCUUAAUAUCUUGGUUCAGGAUGGAAUGAAAAUAAUCCAUGAAGCUAUUGAAACCAAGAAAAGGUAAAAAUAUUAUCCUGAUCAUCGAUUGGUCUUUGCAUUGCUCUUUUUUCCGUUAUAG